AUCAAGUGACUUAAGUGGAUAUAUUUUAGAUGAGCUAUCACAUCCAUCAUCAUUGGAUCUUUUCCAUGUCAUCUAGUGGUUAUGAUUGGUAGUCCAAGUGAUCUAGAGUAGACCAUCACUUCAUACUCCACCAAUGUGGGCAGCUUUCCAUAGCUUCGAGAAAGUUCUAUGAUACUUUUUGGUUGGGUCAAAUUUGUAAUAGGUCUGGCCUAUGUAGGCGCGAGUCUGGCCUAGAACAGUUGCCCCAAAUCGGCCAUGUCAUGAAGUCAGUGAUUGACUUGAGUACAGAUUUGUUUGUCUCUUUCAUAAUGGUAUCUCUCUCGGAGUAUGACUUCAGAUGCAUAACGAUCGAUUAUUAAUUUGUGACAAUUUCAAAAUUGAAUUUUCUUGAAGCCCUUCUUGAUCUCUGAUCUCAAAUUAUGAAGAAUCACUUCAUUAAUGAAUGUAUGUAAGAGGAUUCUUUUUUUAGAUGUCUUUUCAAUCACUUUCUCAUGACACGUGUCAAAUUUGAGUGUUUAUCAUUACUCUAGACUCUUAGGGUUUUUAGGUCAAACUUUUAAGAGUCGUUGGAUGCGUGUGUUGGAAUUUGUGUUAAGCCUUUGGAUUCAUAUUAUAAAUAAUGGUGAGAAUCUUUUUGAUUCCCCUUCUUCGAAAUUUUGAAAUCUCUCUGAAAAACCCUAUGAUUUGUUACCGCAAGCUGAUUCAUCUUUUACCUUUUUCCUCAUAAGACUUUACUAGUUAGUUCUUUUUCUUUUCUUUCUUCUUAGUUUGGUUUCAAUGGUGCUUUUGAAAGUAUGUUUUGUUGUUACGAUUGAGUAUUACAUGUCGCCACUUCAUCUUGUAAUUCUUUGAUUCUAGUCGCCGUCUGCGGUGGAUCUCAUGAUGGUUUUAAGAGUUUUUGUUUCUUUCUCCACUGUGGAUGGGGGUUUUGAGAAUUUAUUCUUUCUCCCUCUCCCGCCAUGAACGGUGGCGUUAGAUAUCCUCUUUGUUUCUGGGUUUAUUUCUCCAUUGCUCGAUUUAAGUUUAGUUUUGGUGACCCUUCACCUCCUUUCAUUCUUUCUUUAUCAAAGUGCAUGAAGGGGUGUGAAUAUUUCUUUUGAUUCAUUCUCAUCCAUUUUGAUCGAACAUGAUUUGAAAUAGUUGAUGAUAGAGCGUCAACUUCAGAAGUACAUAUAUUUCCUCCAUAUUUCAAAUAUAUGAAUUGGGUUACUAAUGAAAUCCUUAGAGAUGUUUCUAUUUUCUCAGAAGAAUGGAAUGAUAUUGCGGAUGCGUUCAGGAAAGUGGGGUCGAAGAAUGUUUGGACUACUAGAAGACCUCAGCAAACAAAGAUGAUACGUAGUGACCCCGACAAUUGUACGAUUAUUAUGUAUGAAUAUUUUUUUGGGCACAUGGGAUUCCACAUUCCUUUUAGAAUGUUUUAGAUAGAGAUCUUGGACCAUCUCCAGUUUUCCCCUUCACAACUUCAUUCAAAUAGUUGGGCUUAUAUCAUGGCUUUUCAAUUCACAUGCGAAUUUAUGAAAUUGAUCCCCUUUGUUAUUUUCUUUUUCAACAUCUUUGGAUUACUCUUGCAUAAGGAAAAUCCUAGAUUGAAACGGGGACAUGUAUCCUUUAAAAAUAUAAAGAAGUGUUUCAUGGAUUUCACUAAUAAAUUAAAAGGGUUCAAGAGGCAAUGUUAUAUUGUGGCGAGAUUAGAAGAAGCCCAUAAAAACUUAUGCAUUAUCAGUCCUAUUUAAGAUCGAAAUAGGAAAAUUGUCAUGGACGAAGAUGGUGAACCGAAGACGACUUGUCGGGUUCAAUUUCCAAAGGUUUGGACUAAGGCUCACUUCAGUCGCAGACAGGGUGAAUUGACGUACAAGCUUAAAGAACUUAUUCGUGUCGACCUCUAUAAAGCUAAUUAUUUAUGACCGUUCUUCAAUACUUUCGAGAAGGAACUUAAGGUUGAUAAGAAAGGAAAUUUGGUGUUGGAUGCGUAAGGAAAGCUUCAAUAUGUUUCUCGUUGCAUAUAUACUAGGGAACUUUUGGUUUUCCGUUAUCAAGAAAAUGCUAACUAUCUCUUAUGUGGUUACUAGAAUUAUCGUUAUAUUGUUAAGCUAGAUAUUUUUCCUUUUUCUUAAUUUUAACUUUCUUUCCAUUUUCAUGUUUACGGCGAACUUGGUUUCUCUAUCUUUUAUGAAGAAGUAAAAACCGAAGGGUACCAGAGCAUCUUCUUCGGCUCCUUCGCAAGUCCCUCCAGCUCCCCCUCAACCAAAGGAAGUGGUUGGAGAUGUCCCCGUCUCGGGGACCAUUCCAACUUCUCCUCAAAAAACCACAUCGGUUUCUUCUAGCAAGAGUUUGAGCUUCAUUGAUCUUCGAGAUGGUCCGAAGCGGAAGAAAGCAAAUAUAGUAGCCACUAAAGGCACAACGAUGGCAAAUACGUCUCUUGCAUUUCCUAGUGCCAUUUAUGUCGAACUCCCUGAAGAUCUUAUUGGGCUUAGAGAUAUGGUCAAUGAAUCUGAUGUUGCGAGCUUGGAUGACACAGUCACACUUGGUCGUCCAAAUAUAUUUGCAAAGAGCUUGUUGCACUCGUGUAAGGUCUUUGUGGUGUAUGCCUCUAUGAUGACUGCUAACCAAGAAUUUUCAUCGAGGCCUCAAAGACACCCAUGCCAAGGACCAUUUUAUUAAAGCUAAUGCCAAGUUGCUAAAGAACGACGAAGACCUAAAGUCUUUACGCAAAAAGAAUGAAGGUCUUUCUUCUCAACCGAGUGGAGUCAAGGCGGCAUCCUAUGUUCUUGCUGAUGUGAAAAAGGUCUUGGAAAAAACUAUAGCUCGACUAGAUAAGAGUGUCGAAAAGACUAGAUCCAAGUUGUAUGACUUGUCCAAGAAGGUCAAUAUCCUUGAAAAAGAGAAAAAGGACUUGGAAGAUGAGAAAGCUACUUUGAUCAACAAUUUGUAUUAUGCGAGUAAAGACUUUUUUUAAAAUUCCCUUGCUUAAAUUCAAUUGGUGAAUCCCAGAUUGGUCGUUAUUAUGGAUGGAAUGGAUUAUACUAAGGUAAUCAAAGGUGGAGAAAUUAUUGAGAUCCCGAACGAUGAAGAGAAUGCACAGGAUGGGAUGGCUAACGAAGUCGGAUAGUAGGAUGUUGAAACUUGGUUUUAUUGUUGAAUUUUGAGGUUGUAUUUCACCAAAUGUUGAAUUUUGAUGUUUGUCCGUGGUUCUUUAUUGUAAUGUUUAAAACACUUUGUCGGCUUAUGACCGUAAUAUUUGUUGAUAUUUCAUUUUUUCUCUGUU